GAGUUUGAUCCUGGCUCAGAACGAACGCUGGCGGCGUGCUUAACACAUGCAAGUCGAACGUGAUUCAGAGCUUGCUCUGGUGAAAGUGGCGCACGGGUGAGUAACGCGUGGAUAACCUGCCCUGGUAUCUGGGAUAACAUCUCGAAAGGGGUGCUAAUACCGGAUAAGCCUACGGACUCCUCGGAGUCUGCAGGAAAAGGAGGCCUCUAUUUAUAAGCUUCCGUAUCAUGAUGGGUCCGCGUACCAUUAGCUAGUUGGUGGGGUAAUGGCCUACCAAGGCGACGAUGGUUAGCUGGUCUGAGAGGAUGAUCAGCCACACUGGAACUGAGACACGGUCCAGACUCCUACGGGAGGCAGCAGUGGGGAAUUUUGCGCAAUGGGGGAAACCCUGACGCAGCAACGCCGCGUGAGUGAUGAAGGCUUUCGGGUCGUAAAGCUCUGUCAGAGGGGAAGAAAUGAAACGUGCUAAUAUCACGUUUUCUUGACGGUACCCUCAAAGGAAGCACCGGCUAACUCCGUGCCAGCAGCCGCGGUAAUAC
rnacentral:rRNA from 1 species